UACGUAGGGGGCAAGCGUUGUCCGGAAUCAUUGGGCGUAAAGAGCGUGUAGGCGGCCCGAUUAGUCCGCUGUGAAAGUCCAGGGCUCAACCCUGGAAUGCCGGUGGAUACUGUCGGGCUAGAAUCCGGAAGAGGCGAGUGGAAUUCCUGGUGUAGCGGUGAAAUGCGCAGAUAUCAGGAGGAACACCAAUGGCGAAGGCAGCUCGCUGGGACGGUAUUGACGCUGAGACGCGAAAGCGUGGGGAGCGAACAGG
rnacentral:rRNA from 1 species